GACACAUCUCGCCCCCCCCUGCCUUUGGGCGGUUCGGAGGGCGGACUCUGCGUGUUCCGGAGCGCGAGCUCCGAGUGCACCGAACCUCGUGAACGCGAGACCUCUACUGCUGAUUGCACAGAGUUGUUGACGGCGUGUCUGCUUCGGCGGCGCGACUCUCUACUCGCCACGUGCUUUCCGCUAUAGUGGCGGUCGUAGUUCCGGUUGCGCGCUGCCCACCCUCGGGAGGGCGGCGCACUACCCCAACUUUCG
rnacentral:misc_RNA from 1 species